UUUUCGCUGCUGCCGCUGUCAAUAAUCACGUUGCACACAGUUUUGUUGAUAGUGCAGCAAGUUUUGAAGAUGCUGUGGCGUUGCGAUUCUUCUUCAUUCUUCGGGGCAAAUAAAAUUCGCUGAACUACAAAGGAGGCCGGAACUCCCUGAUCCGGCGCCGUCACCUCGACGUCUUCAUCGUCGGUCUGCCCCUCUUCAUGAUCCUCCUCCUCAUGCGGCAUUUCUUCUUCA
rnacentral:lncRNA from 1 species